AAACGAUAGCUAAUACCGCAUAAGAACAUUUACUGCAUGGUAGAUGUUUAAAAGGUGCAAAUGCAUCACUACCAGAUGGACCUGCGUUGUAUUAGCUAGUAGGUGAGGUAACGGCUCACCUAGGCGACGAUACAUAGCCGACCUGAGAGGGUGAUCGGCCACACUGGGACUGAGACACGGCCCAGACUCCUACGGGAGGCAGCAGUAGGGAAUCUUCGGCAAUGGGGGGAACCCUGACCGAGCAACGCCGCGUGAGUGAAGAAGGUUUUCGGAUCGUAAAGCUCUGUGGUUAAGGAAGAACGAGUGUGAG
rnacentral:rRNA from 1 species